AAAUUGAAGAGUUUGAUCAUGGCUCAGAUUGAACGCUGGCGGCAGGCCUAACACAUGCAAGUCGAGCGGUAGCACAGAGAGCUUGCUCUCGGGUGACGAGCGGCGGACGGGUGAGUAAUGUCUGGGAAACUGCCUGAUGGAGGGGGAUAACUACUGGAAACGGUAGCUAAUACCGCAUAAUGUCGCAAGACCAAAGUGGGGGACCUUCGGGCCUCAUGCCAUCAGAUGUGCCCAGAUGGGAUUAGCUAGUAGGUGGGGUAACGGCUCACCUAGGCGACGAUCCCUAGCUGGUCUGAGAGGAUGACCAGCCACACUGGAACUGAGACACGGUCCAGACUCCUACGGGAGGCAGCAGUGGGGAAUAUUGCACAAUGGGCGCAAGCCUGAUGCAGCCAUGCCGCGUGUGUGAAGAAGGCCUUCGGGUUGUAAAGCACUUUCAGCGGGGAGGAAGGCGAUAAGGUUAAUAACCUUGUCGAUUGACGUUACCCGCAGAAGAAGCACCGGCUAACUCCGUGCCAGCAGCCGCGGUAAUACGGAGGGUGCAAGCGUUAAUCGGAAUUACUGGGCGUAAAGCGCACGCAGGCGGUCUGUCAAGUCGGAUGUGAAAUCCCCGGGCUCAACCUGGGAACUGCAUUCGAAACUGGCAGGCUAGAGUCUUGUAGAGGGGGGUAGAAUUCCAGGUGUAGCGGUGAAAUGCGUAGAGAUCUGGAGGAAUACCGGUGGCGAAGGCGGCCCCCUGGACAAAGACUGACGCUCAGGUGCGAAAGCGUGGGGAGCAAACAGGAUUAGAUACCCUGGUAGUCCACGCCGUAAACGAUGUCGAUUUGGAGGUUGUGCCCUUGAGGCGUGGCUUCCGGAGCUAACGCGUUAAAUCGACCGCCUGGGGAGUACGGCCGCAAGGUUAAAACUCAAAUGAAUUGACGGGGGCCCGCACAAGCGGUGGAGCAUGUGGUUUAAUUCGAUGCAACGCGAAGAACCUUACCUGGUCUUGACAUCCACAGAACUUAGCAGAGAUGCUUUGGUGCCUUCGGGAACUGUGAGACAGGUGCUGCAUGGCUGUCGUCAGCUCGUGUUGUGAAAUGUUGGGUUAAGUCCCGCAACGAGCGCAACCCUUAUCCUUUGUUGCCAGCGGUCCGGCCGGGAACUCAAAGGAGACUGCCAGUGAUAAACUGGAGGAAGGUGGGGAUGACGUCAAGUCAUCAUGGCCCUUACGACCAGGGCUACACACGUGCUACAAUGGCAUAUACAAAGAGAAGCGACCUCGCGAGAGCAAGCGGACCUCAUAAAGUAUGUCGUAGUCCGGAUUGGAGUCUGCAACUCGACUCCAUGAAGUCGGAAUCGCUAGUAAUCGUAGAUCAGAAUGCUACGGUGAAUACGUUCCCGGGCCUUGUACACACCGCCCGUCACACCAUGGGAGUGGGUUGCAAAAGAAGUAGGUAGCUUAACCUUCGGGAGGGCGCUUACCACUUUGUGAUUCAUGACUGGGGUGAAGUCGUAACAAGGUAACCGUAGGGGAACCUGCGGUUGGAUCACCUCCUUACCUUAAAGAA
rnacentral:rRNA from 1 species